UACGGGGGGGGCAAGCGUUGUUCGGAAUUAUUGGGCGUAAAGGGCGCGUAGGCGGUCAGACUAAGUCGAAUGUAAAAUACCAAGGCUUAACCUAGGCAGGUCGUUCGAUACUAGUCGACUAGAGUGUGGAAGGGGUUGCUGGAAUUCCUGGUGUAGCGGUGAAAUGCGUAGAUAUCAGGAGGAACACCGGAGGCGAAGGCGGGCAACUGGGCCAACACUGACGCUGAGGCGCGAAAGCUAGGGGAGCAAACAGG
rnacentral:rRNA from 1 species